rnacentral:lncRNA from 1 species
UUUCCACUCAAGGGCUUUUUCUGCUUUCGGGAUAAAACUUGUUCCGAACCGAACAUUUUUUGUCGGAGAAUUUUCUUGCGAAAACUUGAUUUUCUCCUCAGCAGGCAACUGAAAGAAUCUCCGGGCGGCUUCCCUCACAUCCUCAAGAACUUCAAUGGGGACUCCAUGAUUAACAAUCUGAAAGAAUCCCCACUUCUCCGCAGCAUUCGCAAUCUGAUCAGCUACAUUCGGAUCAUCCAAAUUCGACAUGUCGAUCACGGGUAUAGAUUCUUUAUCCAAAACUUUCGUCAUGUCUAUUCGCUCCUCGAGAGGUUGAAUAUAUUGCUUUGGUAACGCUGGCCGAGCUCGGAGAUGCCCUUAACACCAUGCCCCUUUUUCACUGCAAAAUGUGUGUAGUCAUCUGAGAAGGAUGCAGCCAUUCUGUAGUAGUGCUGGAUAUCAAAUAACAAGUGCUUUGAUUGUUUGUAUGUAAGUGAAUUUAUUUGUAUGUAGAUAGGAUGAACGAUGAAUUGUAAUGCAUGGAAGGAGAGGCUAUUUAUACACUUUAUUUGAGUUCCAUGCAUAUGCAAAUCGAAUGGCAAAUGAGUGCAACAACCACACAAUUAAUUUCCACGGCCGUCAAGUGCAACGCUCUCAAACACAUACAAAUAGGAACGAACACUCACUGUUUAAGUUUAUUGUCUUACCCAGAACUAUUUCUAUUCUAAUUAAUCGCCUUAUCUGAAUUGAUAACCUAUCGGUAUUGUUUGCGUUAUGUCAAAUAAGAAUUGAUUGCCUCGCAUACUUGAAAUUAAAAUUUGUUGUACAGAUGACAAAUUGUAUACAAACUUGGCUUCUGCAAGAAGUUGAUUGAUUUUUGUCUGUUGCCGUACCGUUUCUGCCAUCGACUCGGAUUGGAUUAAUUAUCUCAACAUUACCGAUUAAGUAAAACAUACUCCAUCCAUUUUGCCGAUUGUUUACGUAACUCGUAAAGUAUAGUUUGAUGAUGUAUUUUUAAUUUUUUCUUUUUCUGAAUAAAAGUUUAAAUGUCAAAUUAUUUUUCAGAAAUUUUUUUAAAAAAUAUAUAUAAUGUAAGUAUACUUUAUAGGAGGCUUAAAAUGCGUGUCAAAAAGUAACGUAAAGAACCUGAUGGGACGGAGGGAAUAUAUAGUAAGAGUUUUAGGAUGGGAUGGACCCGGCCUAGACGGGUAUAAGUGGGGCCUAGUAAGGUCAUGGGGUGGAUUCAGUGGGGCGAGUGUGGGUCCUAGUUGGGUGAUGAUGUACCUUUAAAAUUGGGUGAUGUCAUUUAAAUACAAUUUCUCUUGGUCUGUAUAUGAAUAAUUGUUUACAUAGGCUCUUAAAAUAAAAAUAGAAACCAAUACAACUUAGUGAUAUUCUCAGUACAAUUUAGUGAUAUUCUCUUCAGGAUUUAGUGAUCUGUGUUGCAGGAAUUAGUGAAAACUUGCUGAAACUGCUUAGAAUCUUCAGAUAUGUUCACAUUUUCAAUUCAGAUGAUGGUGAUGAUGGUAGAGGUGAAGGUGGAGAUGGAGGAAUGACGAUUGUAGCGGAGGUCUGGGCGGCUUGAAGUAGGGGAUUGGAGCGUCAUCGGAAUAGUGUCAGCUCCGCCAUAUUUUGAAGUUGAGCCGAGGUGGAGAAAGAAGUAGGAACGGGAUUGAAGGAGGUUGAAGCAGCGACCAAGAUGAGGUUGGUGAAGAUGGAGGUGAAGAUUGUGUUGUUAGAAAAAUAAUGGAGGUGGAGAUGGAGGUGAUGGUUAUGGAGGGGGUGAGCAGCAUAGAGAUGGCGGUGGUUAUGGAGGAGGCGACGACGAAGAUGUUGGCUGGGGCGGAUUUGGAGGUGGGGUUGGUGAAAAUGAAGGUGGAGAUGAGGUUGUUUAAGAAUUUAGUGGUAUUUGUUUUUAGAUUUAGUGAUAUUCCAGUUUAGUUUUUAGUUUGUAGAAUAAAGAGGAAUCUAUUGUAGUAAGGCUUUAUGUAUAUAUGGUUCCAUUAUGUAUUUUUUUUCUAGAUUCUAUUUAAAUCAUAUUAAUAAAUUUAAUGAAUUUAGAUGCUAGAUUUUAUAUAUUAAGUUUAAUUGGUGUAGAACUGUAUGAUUACGAUCAUUUUCUUUGAAAGAUAAAGUUUCAUAAUAGUAUUUUUUUUUGUUAUUCUUUUUUUUAAGGUGUUCUUUGUUGAGUGCAACCCAUUAUAUUAUAUAAUAAAAAGUAAAUUUUAAUUAUUACAGUCAUACAUAAUUCUAUUGUAAUAUAUUCUUUUCCAUAAUUUUUGAAUGACAUAAGAACAACGUUUAUAUAUUCGGUUAAAUGUGAGUUAACUUCAUUAUAGAAAAGUCUAAAAAUCAAUUUGACACGGCAGUGCCUUCUGAACCGUAACUUUCGGGUUCUCCUAUGGCGAGGAGGCAAAUUUCCCCACGCGAGAAUUCAGAUGUGAGGUUGUCCAUGCAUUUGGUGCUCGACGAAAAAGUUGGUCUAUCAGUCCGAUUUUUUUUUUGAAAUAAGGUCUAUCAGUCCGAUUAAUUAAAUUUAAAAUUAUGAUUUAUAAUAUAGUAACAUGAUUUUAUAAGAUAAAUUAAAAUUUUAACAUACCUAUUUAAAUAAUUUUGAUUUAUUAAACUUAUGAGUUUUUAAAAAUUUAAUGAUAAAAAUAAGUGAUAGAGGUAAAUUAUGACUUACAAAUAAUUUUUAUCCAAAAUAUUUGAAAAAUCAAGUUAUUAAAAAAAAUAUCUCAAACUAUUUGGUUUUAAAUCAAUUUUUGACUUGCUAUUUUACUUUAAAUAAGUUUAUACAUUAUUACACAAACAAAUACUUUUCAGUUUAGAACUGUAUUACCCCCGGCUUAUAGGAAAACAAAUAACUCCAGCAUUUUUCAUAAAAAUAAAAUUAGCAUUUUUCUUAUGUCUCUAACUUUUCUCGUAAAAGUGAUAGAAAAGUGAUAGUUUGUUAUAACUUCAUACGCACAAAAUUAAAUAUAAAAUCAUUCACAAAAAUGAUAUGUAUUAAAUUUCAAUUCUAACAAUUUGAUGUAUUCAUAUAAAUAGCACAAAUUAAAGCAUGCAAUCUUCAUUAUCAUGUCAUUCCUUCAAAAUUUUGUAUAAAAUUUUAAGCAGCAUUACUAUUACUAUUAUAAGAGAUCAUACUACUACAUCCGCUGCGAAUUUGCUUCGAUCUAUUUAAAUCAUAAUUGAAUUAAAAUUGUUAUUAUAAUAUAUUAAUCAUAUCACUUGUACAAGUAGAGAACACUUCAUUAUUCGACACUGACAUCCAAAAUUAACAAAAUACCAAUACGUAACACUUCGAACAAAAGCUUAUGAUUGAUUGGUUUGUGUAUAAACAUUCCCAGCGUGUUUCAGGAAACAAUCAUAUCUUAGCAAAAUUCUUCUGCAAUGCUCAAUAACGUGACCUCAAUUGAAUAAGGAAAUGAUGAAAUUAGCUAUAUUAAGACGAAACUUAUAAAAAUAAAAUAACUCACCCAACGAUUAAGAUGACGAGAAGAAUAAACAAUGGUAAUUAUUAGCAGAUGCAAAUCAACUCAAAAUUGUAGUUUCGAUCUAGUGGUAUGAGUUACCUUUCUAGUAUGAAAGAGAUGAAAUUUGCAGGUGUAAAUUUUCGCCUUACAUGAUUUCAUUCCCUCGUUUUAUCUUAUCAUUGUCAAACAAUUGGUAAUAAAACAAGCAAGUCAAAAGAAUACAGAAAAUGAUCAAAAAAUAUAUAUUAAUAUCAAUAAAUAAUUCCAUUGCAAUGAUGUCCAAGUGACUUAUAUGAAUUGACAAAUGAAACAGAUAUUUUUCCAAUAUCAGCACGAUCAUAUCUUAGCAAAGUCAAUGGUCUCCUUUCCGUCAUGCCCUUUCCUGAAGAAAUGUUUCACAUAAUCCGAAUACAAAACCUGCUUGUACAUCGCUUUCUCUCCGUUCCUUAGCACCUCAGGUAGCGGCCCAAUGAUAUCUUCUGGUCUGGGAUUCACAAAAAUAGGCACCGAAACUCUGUUGUUGCUCCCAUUAGCAGCGACACGAUGCUCAACACUCUUGUAUUUUCCAUUACUCAUGAUUUGAAGAGCAUCACCAACGUUGAUUACUAUCGAUCCGCUUAUCGGAGGCACGUGGAUCCAGGCGUCGGUCUCCAUUUUGCGGACGUAGAGUCCUCCGAUAUUGUCUUGAAGGAGAAAUGUGAGUGUGGAGACAUCGGAGUGACGCCCAACUCCCACUGUGAGCUCGGGGUUUGGGCAGAUGGGAUAGUAGUUGAGGUUGAUUCUCUUGGAACCCAUUAGGAGUGGUGCUUUUGAGUCCAUGUUCUCCGCAUUUAGCUUCUGCAUCAGGGCUUGUAGCAGCCACUUGAUCACAAACUCGGACUUCUUCAUGAAUUCUAUCGCUUCGUUCCUGAAAUAAUUGAAUUAUACAGUAAGAAUAAUGUGUGCAUAUCAGCAUGCAGAUUUGCAUGUAUAUUUGUAAAUCAUAGACCUAGCCCCUCUGUUCCAGCAAGUUGUUUACGUUCACUGUAGUAACGUAAAAAACUUGCAGUGACAGAGGAGUGCUAUAUUUUCACUAACGACCAACCAAAUUUUAAAUGUAAUUACAUACUUGCAUGCGGCUGGCCAAAAUGUGGAAGACUCUUCGUCAGAAACAUAGAAGAGACUGAGGUAGUCUUUCCACUCAAGGGCUUUUUCUGCUUUCGGAAUAAAACUUGUUCCAAACCGAACAUGUUUUGUGGGAGAAUUUUCUUGCGAAAACUUGAUCUUCUCGUCAGCAGGCAACUGAAAGAAGCUCCGGGUGGCUUCCUUCACAUCCUCAAGAACCUCAAUGGGGACUCCAUGAUUAACAAUCUGAAAGAAUCCCCACUUCUCCGCAGCAUUCGCAAUCUGAUCAGCCACAUUCGGAUCAUCCA